rnacentral:rasiRNA from 1 species
CACUCACUCACACUGACGCUACUCGA